GGUAAACACACACCGUGGGAGGAAGGGGGUCGCCACCCUCGCGCCCGCCGCCACCCUCGCGCCCGCCGCCAUGUCCGCAAAGCCUUCCAUCUCCCAGGUGAGCAGGGGCCAGGAGCCGAGAGCUGGCGGUAGCGCCGACUCCUCUGCGCUGUCAAGAUCAGGACCCGAUCUUGGGUCUGUAAUGGUGAUCUCAGCGGCAGAGCGGGGACUGGACCCUUCUUACCUACGGCAGGCGGUGGGCCCGGGGUGGUCCAGAAACACAGCCAAGUGGCCCUUUCCAGCAACUUGAUGCCUAUUUCGAGCCAUUUUGCAAAGGCAGAGGUGACUUCAAAAAGCAGGUCAGCAGACCCCAGCAGCGGAGUGGGACCAGACGGUUACCAGCAGCGCCUGAUCUACGUUUACUGGACAACGGGGGAGAUCGGCUGAGGUAAUCAAGUUAAGAAGAGCUCACUGGGAGGGGGGGGCCUUCUGCAGUGUAGGUGUCCCUACAAAAAGGGGAUAUUUAGACCGAUGUGUACAAAGGAGAGAUGACAUAAAGACGCAGAGGGGACGGUGGCCAUGUGACCUCAGAGAAGUUUCCACAAGCCAACAACGGCUGGCAAAGGCCAGGAGCUGGAGGGGGCAGGAAGGACGCCCCCCACCCCGCAGCGCCAUCAGGGGGAGCCUGGCCCUGCCGACGCCUGCAUCUCGGACUUCUGGGAGAGAACAACUUUCCGUUGGGUUGAGCCCCCAGUUCGUGGUGCUUCAUACGACAGCCUCGGGACACUAACCAACCUCAGACACUAGAUCAGUGUCUUUUUCCUAGUUCUAAGGAUCCUUAUUUUGUCCAAAAACAGGAGAUACUG